CAGUCACAGCCUGAACAUUCAAGUACAAGGCUUAUACCCAGAACAGGAACAGCACAGGGCAUCAGAAGUGCCAGCUUUAUCACACUGCCCUUCCAAUGUGCCUCAGUUUUGAUUAAGAAGCAUCACCUAGAAGGGUGAGUUGAUACUUCAUUCUUCCUGUCCAACUGAGACUGCCAACA
ensembl:misc_RNA